GACGAACGCUGGCGGCGUGCUUAACACAUGCAAGUCGAACGGUAAGGCCCUUCGGGGUACACGAGUGGCGAACGGGUGAGUAACACGUGGGUGAUCUGCCCUGCACUUCGGGAUAAGCCUGGGAAACUGGGUUUAAUACCGGAUAGGACCCUGGGAUGCAUGUCCUGUGGUGGAAAGCUUUUGUGGUGUGGGAUGGGCCCGCGGCCUAUCAGCUUGUUGGUGGGGUGAUGGCCUACCAAGGCGACGACGGGUAGCCGGCCUGAGAGGGUGACCGGCCACACUGGGACUGAGAUACGGCCCAGACUCCUACGGGAGGCAGCAGUGGGGAAUAUUGCACAAUGGGCGCAAGCCUGAUGCAGCGACGCCGCGUGAGGGAUGACGGCCUUCGGGUUGUAAACCUCUUUCAGCACCGACGAAGCGCAAGUGACGGUAGGUGCAGAAGAAGGACCGGCCAACUACGUGCCAGCCGCCGCUGUAA
rnacentral:rRNA from 1 species